rnacentral:rRNA from 1 species
AUUGAACGCUGGCGGCAGGCCUAACACAUGCAAGUCGAGCGGGGUUUUCGGACCUAGCGGCGGACGGGUGAGUAAUGCGUAGGAAGCUACCCGAUAGAGGGGGAUACCAGUUGGAAACGACUGUUAAUACCGCAUAAUGUCUACGGACCAAAGUGUGGGACCUUCGGGCCACAUGCUAUCGGAUGCGCCUACGUGGGAUUAGCUAGUUGGGGGGGUAAUGGCUCACCAAGGCGACGAUCCCUAGCUGGUUUGAGAGGAUGAUCAGCCAAACUGGAACUGAGACACGGGCCAGACUCCUACGGGAGGCAGCAGUGGGGAAUAUUGGACAAUGGGCGCAAGCCUGAUCCAGCCAUGCCGCGUGUGUGAAGAAGGCCUUCGGGUUGGAAAGCACUUUCAGCGAGGAGGAAGGGAGUUGUGUUAAUAGCACAGCUUUUUGACGUUACUCGCAGAAGAAGCACCGGCUAACUCUGUGCCAGCCGCCGCGGUAACAC